rnacentral:rRNA from 1 species
ACGAUCAGUAGCCGGCCUGAGAGGGUGAACGGCCACACUGGGACUAGGACACGGCCCAGACUCUACGGGAGGCAGCAGUGGGGAAUCUUCCGCAAUGGACGAAAGUCUGACGGAGCAACGCCGCGUGUAUGAUGAAGGUCUUCGGAUUGUAAAGUACUGUCUUUGGGGAAGAACGGUGGGUUUGAGAAUAUUGAGUCCACAUGACGGUACCCAAGGAGGAA